UCAGUGAUCCGACAGCUGAUUGGUUCAGAGGGAGAACAACAGGUCCUCCUCUUGGUGGACUCAAGAGGUCUGAGAGACCAGACCUGUCCUCCUCUUGGUGGAUUCAGGAGGUCUGAGAGACCAGACCGGUCCUCCUCUUGGUGGAUUCAGGAGGUCUGAGAGACCAGACCGGUCCUCCUCUUGGUGGACUCAAGAGGUCUGAGAGACCAGACCGGUCCUCCUCUUGGUGGAUUCAGGAGGUCUGAGAGACCAGACCGGUCCUCCUCUUGGUGGACUCAGGAGGUCUGAGAGACCAGAUGUACUGGACUCUCUGAGGCUCAUUAAGAGGAUCAUCUGUUUCCCUUUUAUUGAUCAUGUUUCUCAGAUCAGAUGAUCAAUAAUCAACCUCCUGAUGGGGUCAGCGUUAGAACUAACACUAAUGAACUAACGGGACAUUGAUCAGCUCAAACUCUGAAUGAAUGAACGUUGUGACGUCUGGUUUGUUUUCAACAGGUGAUGAAGAACUUUGAGCUGCUGAACUGUUUUAUGACUUCAAGCUCAGACAGCAACAUGGACUCCUGGUUCCUGGUCCUCUUCACUCUGGCGGUUCAUCUGGCCUCAAGAACUGGAGCUCAGAACACAACAACACCUACUACUAUUACUGGUCCUACUGAUACUACUGCUUUAAAUACUACUACUUUUGCUCCUGCUACUGAUACUACUAGUCCUACUGAACCUACUGCUUUAAAUACUACUACUUUUGCUCCUGCUACUGAUACUACUGGUCCUACUGAUACUACUACUUUAAAUACUACUACUUUUGCUCCUGCUACUGAUACUACUAGUCCUACUGAACCUACUGCUUUAAAUACUACUACUUUUGCUCCUGCUACUG